rnacentral:misc_RNA from 1 species
GUUUCCCUGAACCCGAAGUAAUCUCCAGAAGAUCCCCACUAAUGUUCUUCUUCAUCAAUCUACGACUUCUGCGAGAAGUUUCACAAAAUUCAGAACUUCUCUUAUUGGAUUUACGGGAAGCAGAAGAGGCCAAAUUCAAAUCUUCAAUCUCUACCCUAUGUGAGCCCUGUAAAGAGUGUUCAUCGGAACAAUAUUUGCUGCUGGAAGGGUGAUCCUUAUUUUUAAUAUUGACAUUUGAUUUCCUCCUUCGUUUAUCCUUGUAUUUACCCAUCUCAGGAAAUAAAUUCUCUUU